AGGUCCUACGGGGGGCAGCAGUGGGGAAUAUUGCACAAUGGGGGAAACCCUGAUGCAGCGACGCCGCGUGAGUGAAGAAGUAUUUCGGUAUGUAAAGCUCUAUCAGCAGGGAAGAAAUAGCGACCUUUGGGUCGCCAGACGGUACCUGACUAAGAAGCCCCGGCUAACUACGUGCCAGCAGCCGCGGUAAUACGGAGGAUGCGAGCGUUAUCCGGAUUUAUUGGGUUUAAAGGGUGCGUAGGCGGGCUUUUAAGUCAGCGGUAAGAAUUCGGGGCUCAACCCCGUCCGGCCGUUGAAACUGGGGG
rnacentral:rRNA from 1 species